rnacentral:rRNA from 1 species
AUGAUGUGUAUGGGGGACUUGAAUGACAUCUUGUAUGAUAUUGAUGGUUGUAAUGGCAAUGUGAAUAACUAUCGUAUGCAUGUUUUUUGUUCUCUUGUGAAAAAUUGUGGCUUGUUUGAUAUAGGUUAUAGUGGUCCUGCCUAUACUUGGCGUGGUAGACAACACACUUCCAAUCCUAUUUAUAGAUGCCUCGAUCGUUGUUUAGUUAACUCGGAUUGGUGCAUGCACUAUCGUACUACCAAAGUUCUUAAUUUGCCUAUAAUCCUGAGUGAUCAUGCCCCCAUUCUAGUGUCUACUGAAGGUAAUUUUGUCAAGACUCGACAAACUUUCAAAUUUGAAAAUUGGUGGUUGAUGGAAAAAUAUUUUCAUGCCUUUGCUAAGUCUGCCUGGAAUGCUACUUCCUCAUCUUCUUUUGCAGCAAAGUCUUCUUCUUUGGCAGGAUCUUUAAAAAGAUGGUGGGGGUAG